UUUCUUCUCUAUUACACUAUAUCAUUUUAUGCUGGUAGUUUACCUUCUUGGUCAUUUCAUAUAUGCCGUUAUUUGUAAUGCAUUUAUCUUGCUGUGGAUUGAUGGUUCGGGCUAGAAUUUAAUUUGGUCGCUUCUGACCUGUAACUUCUCCUGUUAUGUUUAACUUUGAAAUGCUUUCAAACAAUUUGGCUUGUGAGCUAUAAAUUAAUCGCCUUUUUUUGUUCUGGGUCUGAUUACUGAGCCGGGAGGGAAAAUAAAGAAAGAAUCUCAGCACCGAUUAAACUCAUUUUACUUCUGCUUCCGUUGGUACAGCCGGAGAGGAACUCAAACAUUGUCUCCCGAUCUAUUAUUUCAAGAUGGAAUUGAACCGCUAGGACAAUUUGGUAAAUUCCAUUGCAAAAUGCAGAGCCUAAUUCUAGAAUGCUCUACUCAAUAUUUUCCAAUAAACGUUGUAUUUGAAAUUUUAGAUUUGAUUAAAAAUAAGGAGUAAGCACAACCCUCUUGUUAGAGUUUAAAUGUGAGGGGUGAGAAAGUGGUGAAAAAUUGUGGAAUAAAACUGUUGUGUGGAUAAAGGGUGCAUAAGAUCUUGUGAGGUGCACGCAUAUUUUCCAAUAAACGUUGUAUUUGAAAUUUUAGAUUUGAUUAAAAAUAAGGAGUAAGCACAACCCUCUUGUUAGAGUUUAAAUGUGAGGGGUGAGAAAGUGGUGAAAAAUUGUGGAAUAAAACUGUUGUGUGGAUAAAGGGUGCAUAAGAUCUUGUGAGGUGAUUGCUUCUAAAGCAUUAUGCUGCAAAUUUAUUGUAUUUGACAACUUGUAUCAUUGAAUCAGCAUGUUCAAGCUAAUGCUCAUUACGUGCGAAUGUUCACUUCUCUCAUUUAAUGUGGAAUUAGAGUUUAAAAAUAGAAUGAAAUAUCUUUAGUUUUUCUAAAUGGUAAUUUGGGCUUGGUUGGAGGUGAGUUUGAGCGAGUAGCAGGACACACAUCAAAAGUGCACACAUAUGGCACACAGUUUGUUAUUACUGGAUUCAACUAUUUGUUUUUGUGCAACUGGUGCUGAAAUUUGCAUAUUUUGUUAUGUAUAAAGGUACAGGUGAUUUGGGCGAGCGACCCAGUUUCACAACGGAGGGGAGGAG
rnacentral:misc_RNA from 1 species